UCCGUAGGUGAACCUGCGGAAGGAUCAUUAAUAAUGCUCUCUGGCUUCGGUCAGUUGAGUUCAAUGAGUGCCUUCUCUUCGGAGUUGGCCAUCCAUACACACCGUGAACUGUGGCUUCGGCCAUCACAAACUGUUAGUAAUGAAUGUAAUAUCAUAACAAAAACAAAACUUUUAACAACGGAUCUCUUGGCUCUCGUAUCGAUGAAGAACACAGCGAAAUGCGAUAAGUAAUGUGAAUUGCAGAAUUCAGUGAAUCAUCGAAUCUUUGAACGCACCUUGCGCCCUUUGGUAUUCCGAAGGGCAUGCCUGUUUGAGUGUCAUGAAACCUCACCCCACUUGGGUUUUUGCCUGAGCGGUGGUGUAUUGGGUGUUGCCUUGCCAAAGGCUCGCCUUAAAAACAUAAGCACCUUGGAUGUAAUACGUUUCAUCCUUCUGGGUGGCUGAUAACCCCACAUAUUCAUGAUCUGGCUUCAAAUCAGGUAGGGCUACCCGCUGAACUUAAGCAUAUCAAUAAGCGGAGGA
rnacentral:rRNA from 1 species